AGCAGCCGCGGUAAUUCCAGCUCCAAUAGCGUAUAUUAAAGUUGUUGCAGUUAAAAAGCUCGUAGUUGAAUUUCGGGGUUAGUAGGCUGGUCAUGCCUCUGGUAUGUACUGGUCUCACUGAUUCCUCCUUCCUGAUGAACCUUAAUGCCAUUAAUUUGGUGUUUUGGGGAAUUUGGACUGUUACUUUGAAAAAAUUUAGAGUGUUUAAAGCAAGCUAACGCUUGAAUACAUUAGCAUGGAAUAAUGAAAUAGGACGUUCGAUCCUAUUUUGUUGGUUUCUAGGAUUGACGUAAUGAUUAAUAGGGAUAGUUGGGGGCAUUAGUAUUCAAUUGUCAGAGGUGAAAUUCUUGGAUUUAUUGAAGACUAACUACUGCGAAAGCAUUUGCCAAGGAUGUUUUCAUUAAUCAAGAACGAAAGUUAGGGGAUCGAAGACGAUCAGAUACCGUCGUAGUCUUAACCAUAAACUAUGCCGACUAGGGAUCGGAUGAUGUUAAUUUUUUUAAUGACUCAUUCGGCGCCU
rnacentral:sRNA from 1 species